rnacentral:rRNA from 1 species
GUAGGGAAUUUUCGGCAAUGGGGGAAACCCUGACCGAGCAACGCCGCGUGAAGGAAGAAGGUUUUCGGAUUGUAAACUUCUGUUAUAAAGGAAGAACGGCGGCUACAGGAAAUGGUAGCCGAGUGACGGUACUUUAUUAGAAAGCCACGGCUAACUACGUGCCAGCAGCCGCGGUAAUACGUAGGUGGCAAGCGUUAUCCGGAAUUAUUGGGCGUAAAGAGGGAGCAGGCGGCAGCAAGGGUCUGUGGUGAAAGCCUGAAGCUUAACUUCAGUAAGCCAUAGAAACCAGGCAGCUAGAGUGCAGGAGAGGAUCGUGGAAUUCCAUGUGUAGCGGUGAAAUGCGUAGAUAUAUGGAGGAACACCAGUGGCGAAGGCGACGAUCUGGCCUGCAACUGACGCUCAGUCCCGAAAGCGUGGGGAGCAAAUAGGA